UACGGGGGGGGGCAAGCGUUGUUCGGAAUUACUGGGCGUAAAGGGCGCGUAGGCGGUUUGCUAAGUUGAAUGUGAAAACUCUGGGCUUAACCCAGAGCCUGCAUUCAAUACUGGCAGGCUGAGAGUUCUGGAGGGGAUAGCGGAAUUCCUGGUGUAGCGGUGAAAUGCGUAGAUAGUCAGGAGGAACACCGGUGGCGAAGGCGGCUAUCUGGACAGAGUCUGGACGCUGAAGGCGGCGAAAGCUAGGGGAGCAAACAGG
rnacentral:rRNA from 1 species